GAGCUCUGAUCUUUGCUAUACCUGCCUAACCUACACAGCCCUGUCAGCACCGUGGAGGUAAAGGAGGGUGCUGGUUGAGAGCAGUCCUUGAGGGACUAAAACUCCCCACAGCUUUCUGGGAAGUGGGAGCUUGUGUUUAAGGCAUCCCUGGGCGGAAGCCCUAGCAGGAACCACCCUUACUCAAGUCAUGGCAGGCCAUGGAACAUCGGAUCCGGGAGGAGCAGCAGGCUAUGGACCGAAAGAUUGUCCUGGAGCUGGACCGGAAGGUUGCCGACCAGCAGAGCACACUGGAGAAGGCAGGGGUAGCUGGUUUCUACGUGACCACCAAUCCUCAGGUCAGCACCUCAGCCAGCCCUGUCACCACCUGUGUCCCAGCCCCUGAAGGUUCAGUUCUAUCUGGAACUUUUGUUUUAGGUUUUCUUCUGGUUGGGGGUGAUUUGCUUUCUUUUUUCUUUUUUCUUUAUUU
ensembl:processed_transcript Gm15954 predicted gene 15954